UUUCUUUGGCGUGCCACUGUCGGGAGGCGCUGUAAGCCCGUAUAGUAUAAUUAUACUGCUUGAGCGGCUAGCCCUCUGUCUGAACCCUUGUCUUUUGUGCACUUGUUUCCUCGGCGGGUCUGCCCGUCUUUAGGACCAAACUAUAACCUUUUUUAUUUUUAAUCUGCGUCUGAAAACAAUAUAAUCAUUACAACUUUCAACAACGGAUCUCUUGGUUCUGGCAUCGAUGAAGAACGCAGCGAAAUGCGAUAAGUAGUGUGAAUUGCAGAAUUCAGUGAAUCAUCGAAUCUUUGAACGCACAUUGCGCCCCUUGGUAUUCCAUGGGGCAUGCCUGUUCGAGCGUCAUUUGUACCCUCAAGCUUUGCUUGGUGUUGGGUGUUUGUCCUCUCCUCUGUGUUUGGACUCGCCUUAAAAUAAUUGGCAGCCAGUGUUUUGGUAUAGAAGCGCAGCACAUUUUGCGAUUCUGGCUGAUAAUACUUGCGUCCAUAAGCCUUUUUAUUAACGCUUGACCUCGGAUCAGGUAGGGAUACCCGCUGAACUUAAGCAUAUCAAUAA
rnacentral:rRNA from 1 species